UCAGGAUGAACGCUAGCGGCAGGCCUAACACAUGCAAGUCGAGGGGUAAGUCCCGACUUGUCGGGAACACGACCGGCGAACGGGUGAGUAACACGUUUGCAACCUACCCUUAACUGGAGAAUAGCUCCCGGAAACGGGAAUUAAUGCUCCAUAAUAUUCAGACAGGGCAUCCUGACUGAAUCAAAGUUCCGGCGGUUAAGGAUGGGCAUGCGUGACAUUAGCUAGUUGGUGAGGUAACUGCUCACCAAGGCAACGAUGUCUAGGGGGUCUGAGAGGAUGGUCCCCCACACUGGUACUGAGAUACGGACCAGACUCCUACGGGAGGCAGCAGUGAGGAAUAUUGGGCAAUGGACGCAAGUCUGACCCAGCCAUGCCGCGUGCAGGAUGACAGCCCUAUGGGUUGUAAACUGCUUUUGUACAGGAAGAAACACUCCGACGUGUCGGAAUUUGACGGUACUGUACGAAUAAGCAUCGGCUAACUCCGUGCCAGCAGCCGCGGUAAUACGGAGGAUGCAAGCGUUAUCCGGAUUUAUUGGGUUUAAAGGGUGUGUAGGCGGGAUAGUAAGUCAGUGGUGAAAUCUUUCGGCUUAACCGGAAAAUUGCCAUUGAUACUGUUAUCCUUGAGUAUAGUUGAGGUGGGCGGAAUGUGUAAUGUAGCGGUGAAAUGCAUAGAUAUUACACAGAACACCAAUUGCGAAGGCAGCUCACUAAACUAUCACUGACGCUGAGGCACGAAAGCGUGGGGAGCGAACAGGAUUAGAUACCCUGGUAGUCCACGCUGUAAACGAUGAAUACUCGAUGUGUGCGACAUAUUGUACGCGUCUGAGCGAAAGCAUUAAGUAUUCCACCUGGGGAGUACGGUCGCAAGAUUGAAACUCAAAGGAAUUGACGGGGGCCCGCACAAGCGGAGGAACAUGUGGUUUAAUUCGAUGAUACGCGAGGAACCUUACCUGGGCUUAAAUGCAGAACGACGUUCCGGGAAACCGGAAUUCCCUUCGGGGCGGUCUGCAAGGUGCUGCAUGGCUGUCGUCAGCUCGUGCCGUGAGGUGUCGGGUUAAGUCCCAUAACGAGCGCAACCCCUAUUGUUAGUUGCCAGCGGGUAAUGCCGGGGACUCUAACGAAACUGCCAGUGUACACUGUGAGGAAGGUGGGGAUGACGUCAAGUCAGCACGGCCCUUAUGUCCAGGGCUACACACGUGUUACAAUGGCCGGUACAGAGGGCAGCUACCAGGCGACUGGAUGCAAAUCUCGAAAACCGGUCUCAGUUCGGAUCGAAGUCUGCAACCCGACUUCGUGAAGAUGGAUUCGCUAGUAAUCGCGCAUCAGCCACGGCGCGGUGAUACGUUCCCGGGCCUUGUACACACCGCCCGUCAAGCCAUGGAAGCUGGGGGUACCUAAAGUCCGUAACCGAAAGGAUCGGCCUAGG
rnacentral:rRNA from 1 species